UCUGUCUUAAUAAACUGUCUUUAUCUCAGCUCACCGGCUUCACUUUCCCGUUUCUCUCCCCCAUCCCAGAGAGGGAGGGAGGAGGGUGAGCGAACGGCUGUGUGGUGUUUAGCUGCCAGCCGGGUUAAACCACAACAAAUCAUUAUAAAGAGAAAAUGGAAUUUUGUUUCCUCAUGUUCUUGUAACAAACCCAUCAUCCUGUUUUUCUGUGCAGUAGGCAGUAUUCAUAGAAUCAAAAGUAGAUUGUUUAAAAACAAAAUUGAAGUUAAUUUCACCAACCAUGUGUCAGAAAGUUCUACCCAGUUUGGACAUUAUUUGUCUAUGUGAAGCAGUGAUUUCAUGUUUACAAGUUCAGCAAGACCUGAAGUGACUUGCUUUAUACAGACAUUUAGUAUUGCCCUACACACCAAUACUCCUUUAGUAUGAUAAAAUAUAUGUCUUUGCCUCUUUACUAGAAGUUACAGAGAAGUCUUCUCAUCAUCCAGCUAUGAAAAGCACCAUGACUGGUUCUGCGCAGGAGCUGCAUGAAUACAUGUGGAGCAGAAAAGUUGCUCUUUAUAGCCAGCUGUAAAAUUCUUUCAAACGCUGUGAAUGUUAAGCCUGAGAAGGUUUUUCUCAUUGGCGUUUUCUGAGAUACAGAUUAGCUUCAGCAUACCAGCCUUCAGCAGAAAGGAGAAGGAAGAUAACCCAGUUUUAUCCAGACUGGAUGCAGAGGUACUAUGUUUAUGCAUGAGCAUUCCUUGCAAUAUGGAACAGACCCUUCAGAUCCUUGCGACAGGCAAUCCCAGUGGCCUUACUCUACAAGAGGAGGAGAGGACCAUGAGCUCUUCUGCAUGUACAGCUAAAGUGGUCAUUCCAGAGGCUAAGACUGCUUUCCUCUUUCUUUCCCAACUUACAGCACGGCUUCUGCAGCAAAGAAACUAAAGAAGUAAGGUGAGCCAUACAGGAAAUUAUGGGCUAUGAUGUUCUAGGGUCUGUGAGGACAGGAGUACUAAAUGUACCUUUGGAUGGAUUAAGUGCAAACACAAACAAGGUUUGGUCUUACUGUGGCCCAGCUAAAAUUACUAAUUUUCUCUCAGUUGUUCAAAGCUUAAACACAGUCUGGCAGCAUAUUAAAAACUUAAAUUUUGUGAGUGUUCAGUACUUAGAUGAAAUGUGCUGUAAUUCUUACCAUGCCUGAGUGAAAACAUAUAUAGUCUAUUUACAUUAAUU
rnacentral:lncRNA from 1 species